rnacentral:rRNA from 1 species
UUCGUCCAAUUGAAGCAGAGGACAGUGGCGGACGGGUGAGUAACGCGUGAGGAACCUGCCUUUCAGAGGGGGACAACAGUUGGAAACGACUGCUAAUACCGCAUGAAGCUUUUGGGAGACAUCUCCUGGAAGCCAAAGCUUAAUGUGCUGAAAGAUGGCCUCGCGUCUGAUUAGCUAGUUGGUGGGUAACGGCCCACCAAGGCGACGAUCAGUAGCCGGUCUGAGAGGAUGAACGGCCACAUUGGGACUGAGAUACGGCCCAGACUCC